rnacentral:rRNA from 1 species
UACGUAGGGUGCAAGCGUUGUCCGGAAUUAUUGGGCGUAAAGAGCUCGUAGGUGGUUUGUCGCGUUGUUCGUGAAAUUCCCUGGCUUAACUGGGGGCGUGCGGGCGAUACGGGCAGACUGGAGUACUGCAGGGGAGACUGGAAUUCCUGGUGUAGCGGUGGAAUGCGCAGAUAUCAGGAGGAACACCGGUGGCGAAGGCGGGUCUCUGGGCAGUAACUGACGCUGAGGAGCGAAAGCGUGGGGAGCGAACAGG